AGCCGAGGACCUCGGCGUCUCAGGAGCUCGGCACAGAAAUCUCUGUCGCUCAAGCGAUAGUCGGAUCUGGGUGUCCGGGGGGAGGGGUGGGGGCAGCUCUCCCAGGCAGCUAGAGGUAAGCAGAGACCCGGGACCCAGGCGUCUUCCAUCUUGUAGGGCUACCCUUUUGCCACGAGGCUCCCGAGGUCACCCUGCAGGCUGCCUCCCCUCCAGCCCACUAGGAGGGAAGAGAACAGAGGGUGAGCACAAGAAGGUGGUGCUCGAGAGAGCCGUAAGUCACAUCGCCAUCCACCCCAAUCCCUGAGAGGCCUGAUGGACGUGUACGCAGAGUCUCUUGUUGGUGCGUUACAAACCCUUCCUGAAGCCAGGCUCCCCGUCCCUACAUUUGUGCUUCGUGUCCUCACUCCCUUGUGACCUGAUUCUGAAACCUGAUGAUUGUCAGGAGCUUAAAACCGUGCACGUUCAAGAGGAUGAGAACACAAGCUCCAGACGGGCGAGAAUAUUUGCAAAAAACAUACUUGAUAAAGGGCUGUUACCCCAAAUAUACAAAACCCCUUAAGGCUCAUCAAUAAACAAAUAACCUGAUUUUUUGAUAAAUGGGCUAAAGACCUCAACAGACAUCCCACCAAAGAAGACACGCAGAUAGCAAAUAAGCAGAUGAAAAAUGCUUCCCCGUCAUCCGUCUUGAGUGAAUCGCAAACGAUAACCACAACAAGACAGCAGUUCGCAUCUCGUGGAUCGGCUAAAGGGCAGAGCUCCGCCAACACCAAAUGCUGGCGAGGCGGGGGAGCGACAGGAACGCUCGCUCACUGCGGGCGGGAACGCAGAAGGGGCUGCCACUUUGGAAGACUGUUUGGGGAUUUCUUACAAAACUGAACAUGCUCUUACUGUAUGAUCCAGCAGUCGUGCUCCUUGGUGUUUCCCCAAAGGAUCUGAAAGCCACUGUCUACACAAAAACCUGCACACCAAUGUGUGCAGCAGCUUUGCUCCUCAUCGCCAGCAUUUGGGAAGCACCCAAGACGUCCUUUAGCCUGUGAGUGGAUAAAACGAGGUCGUCCAGACCAUGGACUAUUAUGCAGCACUAAAGGGAAAUAAACUAUCAAACCAUGACAAGACACAGGGGAAACUUACAUGUCUGGUCCUGAGCGAGAUAUUCCAGUCUGGAAAAGCUGUAGACUGUAUGAUUUCAGCUACAUGACAUUCUAAAAAAGGCAAAACUCCAGAGUCAAUAAGAAGAGCAGUGGUUGGCAGAGGUUAUGGAGGGGGGAGGGGAGGGAUGAUCGGCAGAGCACGGAGCGUUUUUAGGGCUGGGAAACUACUCUGUGUCUAUGAUCAGGGUGUUCACAUGCAACGGUGUAUAUGCCCAAACCUCUAGAACGUCCUACACUAAGACCAGACCGGGAUGUCAGCCGUGGACUUUGGGUGACACUGCCGAUGACAAGUCACUGUAGGGUCGCCAACCAUAACAAACGUUGCGCUCUGGAGGGGGCUGUUGAUAACGGGGAGGCUGUGUCUAUGCGGGGCAAGGGGUAGAGGGGAACUCUCUGUACUGUCCUCCUGAUGGUGCUGUGAACCUAAAACUGUUCUAAAA